rnacentral:rRNA from 1 species
UGCCAGCAGCCGCGGUAAUACGGAGGAUGCGAGCGUUAUCCGGAAUGAUUGGGCGUAAAGCGUCUGCAGGUGGUCAAUCAAGUCUUAUGUUAAAGAGCGGGGCUUAACUCUGUGAGGGCAUAGGAAACUGAUGGACUAGAGUACAGUAGGGGUCACGGGAAUUCCCGGUGUAGCGGUGAAAUGCGUAGAUAUCGGGAAGAACACCAGCGGCGAAAGCGCGUGACUGGGCUGAGACUGACACUCAUGGACGAAAGCUAGGGGAGCGAAAGGGAUUAGAUACCCCUGUAGUCCUAGCUGUAAACGAUGGCAACUAGGUGUUGGCCGUAUCGACCCGGUCAGUGCCGAAGCUAACGCGUUAAGUUGCCCGCCUGGGGAGUACGCUUGCAAGAGUGAAACUUAAAUGAAUUGACGG